GUGCCUGAUAAAUAAUAGAUCUUCAAUGUCCAAAGAGGCUUUUGUCUCCCCAGCAGUUUGAUACUCAUGGAACUGAGGCUCAAAGGAGGGACUUCUGACGAUCUCAGAAUUCCACCUGGGCAGGUCGGAGAGUUCACAGCCCCUCGUCACUCGGAGGAAGGGAAUGCAGAGGAGCAAGGAUGCAGGUUCCUGAGACCAUACAGAGAGGCCUUCCCUGGGCGGUUUCCAGACCAAGAAGCCCACGCCCUUCCCCGGGAGCCAAGCCAAGAAGGUCCUGGGACUGAGGGCCCCAUAUGCCGCUCAUUUUCCAACCCCUCUGGGCAGGGCUGCCUCCGCUCCAUGCCUCAGAGAGAUCUUUGCAAUGAUGGAUAAGCCGUGGCCCCGACGGCCCUGGCCCUGGGGAGGAAAAAAAACAUCUUUUGCAGUUUCGUGUAAAGCCUCCCACUUUUCGCUUAAUAAGUGCUGAAAGAGGCACAAACAGAGGGACCCCGAGCUUGCCAUGACUAACAAGAUGACCACAUCAGGCAGAGCCGAGCUGGGGGAGAGGACCGCGCCGGCCGGCCGCCCGGCUUCCCGGCGCGGAGGUGUCCGAUUCCCGAUUCCCUCCCGGGACGCUCCGCCAACAGUGCUUUGAAGCCAUGCCUAGGAGCCCGGAGCAGGGAGGCACGGAGCGAAGUGGGGAAAGGGCUGGUCCUCCCUCCCGCCUCCCGCAGGAUGGGCACAGAUCGCCCAAGAUAAAGGAACCGCAGCCUCCUCCAACUUGUGCUGAGUCGCUCUUUUCAAAAGCCCUUUCAGAUGGUUUCACUUCUCCGCGCGCGCUUUGUUGAAAGAUGUAAAAAUUUCAAACCACCACAGAGUAAACAUUUCAAAACUCGCUCUUUGCAAAAAUCAGUCACAUUUUCCCAAAAAAAAAAAAAAAAAAAAA
ensembl:lncRNA